rnacentral:rRNA from 1 species
UACGAAGGGGGCUAGCGUUGUUCGGAAUUACUGGGCGUAAAGCGCAUGUAGGCGGCAGCGCAAGUCGGGCGUGAAAUCCCACGGCUCAACCGUGGAAGUGCACUCGAAACUGCGCAGCUAGAGUCCUGGAGAGGAAGGUGGAAUGCUUGGUGUAGAGGUGAAAUUCGUAGAUAUCAAGCGGAACACCCGUGGCGAAGGCGGCUCUCUGGGACGGUACUGACGCUGAGACGCGAAAGCGUGGGGAGCGAACAGG